AGAGAACCUUGCCGUGGUGAGUAACCACGUGACUUGACCAGGUGGCUCAAUGCAAUUUAUAGGAUCUGCCAGGAGUCACGUGGCAAACCCAUGCACGUGAGUUUGGGGUGGAGGGCCCUGAAGGGGAGAGGAAGAAUUCUCCCUCUCCUGCACCACGUUAAAGUGCAAAUGAAAGAUCCCCGAGCAAAGCUGUGGCGCAUCAGGACAGAAUACCAGAGUGAGUGCAAGUGGAGGCCGCUGGGCACAGCAGGCAGGUGAGCACAGAGGAGGGAAGAGAAGUCCUGGGGCACCAGGGGGGUGGACUUC
rnacentral:lncRNA from 1 species